UGCAGGAUGUUUUUUUUAGAAAAAAAACGGUCAAAGGUUUAGCAUGCGGAGGUUCCUUGCUAAGCUUUAUACAGCCGAAGGUUAGCUGCCAAAAAAUUAUUUUUCUAGACAAAAGAGUUAUCUAGCUAAGGCUGAAGGCUUACCGAAUCUUUCAAGGAGCAGCUUAAUGUCCCUUUCUUCAUGGAGAUUAUAUAUUAUAAUUUUGAGCUGGUGCAUCUGGUCAGUUAGGAAUGAUCUCAUUUUCAGGGGAGAAGAGGCUUCAGUUCAGAAGUGCAGAAUUCUCUUCAAAAAUACCUUUGCCUUAGUUAUUCUUCGUGCAAAGAAAAGAUAACUCCCCUUAGUUAAUCUAUGGCUAGAGAACCUUUUGUAAUUAAUCUCAUCUUUUUUAUCUCUUUGUUUAUUUCUUGAACUUCGUUGGCGUCUUGCCUUCCCUUCUGCAGCCGUUUUUUUUUCUGGUUUUAAUAUAUCUUCAGUAGGGUGCAAACCCCUCCUGUUUCUUCAAAAAACUUUAGAUGCUUCGUGUGUAUUUUAUUUAUUGAUAAAAAAUGUUGGCUUGGCCGAAGGCUUGUUGGUAGCUUCUAUAGAUAAGCUCUUUUUUUCUUUUUUUUGAAAAAGCUGGUGGUGCUUUAGACGAAGGCGUUAAUGUUGCCAGCUUGUUAUGGAGGUUUAAGGAUAUCUUACCUUCCUCGGAGGUUCUUACCUUCUCUCAAGGGGGGGGGGGGGUUUCUCAUAGGUUAAACCUUUUGGUUUGAUGAUGAAGGAUGUUGAAGAAGACUGCAAGCGAAGGCUUGCCAACGAAUUCUCAACUCAAGCAUCCUCACAUGUUCAAGCCUUUUCUCUUGAAAAAUUUAGUCGUGCCGGGUAUGGUGGGCGCCAAUGUUGGAAAAUGGGGAUCCCAACAGAGAGUGAGGAUGGGGAGCAAGCUCGUUGUGUCUCGACACCCGAGGGUCGGAGGCUUCGCUCGAGGGCGAAGAUCUUUGACUACCAGAGGUACAGAUAUUGAGAUGCGACUUGCACGUUUAUUGAGACAAAUGAUUAAGGUUCAAGUCACUCAAAAUCGUCUCUCCUCAGGGCCGAGAUCUCCUUUUAUAUAGUAUGGUUACAAUAUGUUUAUAGUACAUAAAUGUCUAUGUAGCAACUACGGCAUAUGCCGGAAUAUUCCACUCCACUACAUAUACUCUCGGGGGCACUCAGGUCUUUUACUACUACAGCCCAUUUGGCUAACGGCCCUUGUGGAAUCUAGCAUCUUGGCCCACGAAGAGGUCCAGCUCACAAUCCAUGUGUAGUCUUCAAAGAGCGUCGGUCUUCAUAGAGGCUUUUCUGCCGCUGUCCAUGAGGCAAAGGCUUGUGUCGACUGUUUCACUGGUGUUGAUAUCACACAUCGUGCAAAGGCUUCUUUGCCAUGGUGCGAAGGCUCCUGUUGGCUGUUUCGCCACCUCUUUGUGCUUCGUAUUGCA
rnacentral:lncRNA from 1 species